GUGCCAGCCGCCGCGGUAAUACAGAGGGUGCGAGCGUUAAUCGGAAUUACUGGGCGUAAAGCGCACGUAGGUGGUUGUGUAAGUCGAGUGUGAAAGCCCCGGGCUCAACCUGGAAACUGCAUUCGAGACUGCAUUACUCGAGUAUGGGAGAGGGCAGUGGAAUUUCUGGUGUAGCGGUGAAAUGCGUAGAUAUCAGAAGGAACAUCAGUGGCGAAAGCGACUGCCUGGCCCAAUACUGACACUCAAGUGCGAAAGCGUGGGGAGCAAACAGGAUUAGAAACCCCCGUAGUCC
rnacentral:rRNA from 1 species